UGGGGAAUAUUGGACAAUGGGCGAAAGCCUGAUCCAGCCAUGCCGCGUGUGUGAAGAAGGUCUUCGGAUUGUAAAGCACUUUAAGUUGGGAGGAAGGGCAUUAACCUAAUACGUUAGUGUUUUGACGUUACCGACAGAAUAAGCACCGGCUAACUCUGUGCCAGCAGCCGCGGUAAUACAGAGGGAGCAAGCGUUAAUCGGAAUUACUGGGCGUAAAGCGCGCGUAGGUUGUUUGUUAAGUUGGAUGUGAAAUCCCCGGGCUCAACCUGGGAACUGCAUUCAAAACUGACUGACUAGAGUAUGGUAGAGGGUGGUGGAAUUUCCUGUGUAGCGGUGAAAUGCGUAGAUAUAGGAAGGAACACCAGUGGCGAAGGCGACCACCUGGACUAAUACUGACACUGAGGUGCGAAAGCGUGGGGAGCAAACA
rnacentral:rRNA from 1 species